AACUUUUGUCUGCCCAGCCGGACCUACUUUCAUAGAAGGGCGGAGCGCGGUGUGCCUGUAGGAAGGGAAAGAGGUGGGGGUAUCAGCGCAGGAAUCUUUAGUUCACCCUUCCCAAGGAAGAGAGAAGGGUUAACACUCUCUUCUGGUCAUACUGCAAUCUUUGAUAGUGGAGUCGGGAGAAGAAUUGGGGACCAUUAAUGAGUCAUUAUUACACCUCCUUAGAUACAGUUAAAGAAAGAGUGUACGGAACCAGUGGGAGGACUCUUUGCAGUUGGAAUGUGCGGAGGGGCACAGUGGAAGGCAAGGAUAAGGAAUGAAAGCGACUAGAGAGAGGCAUGUCCUGCGCAAACAUGGUCACUUUGUUCCCAGCGUGGAGACGGAGGGAGAGAUGGAAAAACAGAGUGAACCGAAAAGCUAGAGACAGAAAUAGAAUGAAAAGAGAAAAAUAGAAACAAGAGCUCUCAAGAGAAAAAGAAAGGGAGGAGUAAGAAUCACAAGCAAGAUGGACAUAUGUGAAAGGGAAAUGGAGUCUGCUGUAGAGGAAGAAAAAGGCCAGUAUCCCUGAGCUAAAAACCUGCUACAUGCUGCAAGUUGGAAGCCCUGAGAAGAAAGAUUUACAAGCCACCCUUCAGCAGAAUUUUCCAAUUCAUAAGCCUGGAGUAUUAGCUGUGGGUGAAGAAGAGAAGGAAAGAAAGAGGAAUAAUGAACUGGAGGAAUUCCAUGGAGACUGGAACGACCUCCAGGAAGUGAUGCAGAGCGAGAGGAGCAGAACCAGGAGAACACUGUACACAGAGACUGAUACACUGUGGUAUAAUCGAAGGUAAUGGACUUCUCCAUUAGUGGCAAUGCAGUGAUCCUGAACAACCCGGAGGGAUCUAUGAGAAAGAAUACUAUCCACAUCCAGAGGAAAAACUGUGCAAGUGAAAAAACCGAAGAAAAACAACUGCUUGAUUACAUGGGUCGAAGGGAUAUGAUCGGAAAUGUAGACUCUAAAUGAACAUCCUAAUGCAAAUACCAACAUGGAAAUAGGUUCUGAUAAAGGACACAUGUAAUACCCAGUGGAAUUGUACAUUGGCUAUUGGGGGGGGGGGAGAAUAUGAUUCUUAUAACCAAGGAAUAAUGUUCUAAAUUGACUAAAUUAAAAAAAAAAAGACAGAAGGGCAGGGACUAGACAAACAGGAUGAAGAGACUUGCCCAGGGUGACCUAGCUAGGAAGUAUCGGAGGUCACAUUAGAACAGAAGCCAUCCUGACUCUAGGCCUGGCUCUCUAUGCACUGUGUGGCCCAGCUGCCCUGAUAACAUUCUUAACAUCCAGCUUCUGCCUGAAAACUUACAGUGAGGGAUCUCACUCCUUUUUGGGGUUAAGAAAAAUAAUAGCUAGCAUUUAUUAAGUACCUCCUAUGUGCCACAAACUGUGCUAAGCACUUUACAGGUAUUACCUCAUUGGAUCCUUACAACAAACCUGAGAGGUAGAUGCUGUUAUCCCCAUUUUGCAGUUGAGGAAACUGAGACAAACCAAAGAUAAGCGACUUGCCCAAAAGUACACAGCUAGGACCAGCUAUGAAUUCAGGUCUUCCUGUAUCUAGGUCCAGUAUCUACUAUACUGCUUAGCUUCCUGGUCAUUCUAGUGACCAGGAGGUUCUGAACUUGGGGGAUGCAAACAUUUUAAAAAUAUAUAUUUUGGCAACUACUUUAAUGUAGUUUAUUUCCUUUAUAAUCUUUUGUAUUUUCUUUUAUGAAUUUAAAAACAUUCUGAAAGGAAGGCUCUAGACCUCACCAGACUGCCAACAGGGUCUAUGACACAGUUCUUCUAGCCACUAUAUUAUAUCGCUCUUCUGCAUUUCUGAGGCCCUUGUUCCAUUUUUAAUACAGUCAGAAAUAAGAGUUGUAUUGGGCCAGAAACUCACAUGAGAGAGACUAAACACAUCUGUUCUUGGCAGGAAAGACCUUUUAGAGUACUGCUGAAGGUGAGAAGGAGAGAAGACCCUGAAAGGGCACUGACUUUGUUCCCACCAAAUGUAGAGCUGGGGUUCCAAAGGAAUAGCAGACCUAAGUGACUUCAUCUGACAUUCAAGGCCCAUGAUUGGAUACCCCAACUUGAGAGAAGUGGUAAGAGUUGAAAAAGAGAUUUUUCUGAGGAAAGGUAAAUGUCACUAAAAUUAAGCCAAAAGUAUUUUUCUGGGGGCUUUAGAGGGAUAGGGCUGGGAGGCUAAAAUACCAUGUAAGGUCUUUAGUGAGAUUUUAUAAUGAGGAAAUGGAUUUAUAUCAUAACAAGUAGAAUUUAAGUUAGAUGUAGGGAAAAAAGUGCAUCCCAGGAUUAACAAAGACACUGUAAUGACCAGUAGGUGGGUUUAGAAUCCACCAGUCCCCACUGCUAGGUCUGGGAUCUCUUGCCAACCCCACCUUCCCCUCACUUCAGCCUCCCCACAGGAUAGAAGGAUAAUAGUUGAACCAGAAACUGCAGUGAUUCUAAGAGGUCUUCUCUAGCCUGAAAGCAGCUGCUGUUCUGGAGGACGUCCAACUGGAAAGGAUGAUCCUAACAUCUUGCCUUUGGGAUCUGAGACCAUUUUCAGGAGGAAUCUCUGGAAGACCUGGUUCAGACCAAAUUCCUCAGGAGUCUUGAGCUAACUAGCAUCUCUGUUUGAAGAUGAGGCUCUAGAAUUUUACCUGUGUAGGUCUGGAGCUCCUCUCCACCUUUGGAGUCACCUCAAGUCUAAAGCCUACGUAGGUCCUUCCUGGUCAACACCUAUAACGGUAGAGGCCCUGGUACCCACUCAGAGCUACUGGAUACAUUUGCAAACUGGUUCCAGUGACUCUUGGGAGUGCCAACUUGCCGUAAUCCCAUAAGGAAGAUUUUCCUGACUGUCAGGGUUAUUGUAAAAUCCCUGGAAAAGGUUGUGGACUUUGCUGUCCUUUCACAUCAAUCCACCCACCACUUGGCCCUUUGGGUUUAAAAAGAACUGUAGAAAUUCAGCACACUCACAGAGAGCACCAGAUCCCGUUUGCGCCUGGAAUUCUUCUGCCCACCCCCUCUGGCCCUGCCAGGAGAAGCUGCGAACCCCAAAGAUAGUCUUA